rnacentral:rRNA from 1 species
CUUGCUCCCGGAUGUUAGCGGCGGACGGGUGAGUAACACGUGGGUAACCUGCCUGUAAGACUGGGAUAACUCCGGGAAACCGGAGCUAAUACCGGAUAGUUCCUUGAACCGCACGGUUCAAGGAUGAAAGACGGUUUCGGCUGUCACUUACAGAUGGACCCGCGGCGCAUUAGCUAGUUGGUGGGGUAAUGGCUCACCAAGGCGACGAUGCGUAGCCGACCUGAGAGGGUGAUCGGCCACACUGGGACUGAGACACGGCCCAGACUCCUACGGGAGGCAGCAGUAGGGAAUCUUCCGCAAUGGACGAAAGUCUGACGGAGCAACGCCGCGUGAGUGAUGAAGGUUUUCGGAUCGUAAAGCUCUGUUGUUAGGGAAGAACAAGUGCGAGAGUAACUGCUCGCACCUUGACGGUACCUAACCAGAAAGCCACGGCUAACUACGUGCCAGCAGCCGCGGUAAUACGUAGGUGGCAAGCGGUUGUCCGGAAAUUAUUGGGCCGUAAAGGGCUUCGCAGGCGGGUUUCUUAAGUCUGAUGUGAAAGCCCCCGGCUCAACCGGGGAGGGUCAUUGGAAACUGGGAAACUUGAGUGCAGAAGAGGAGAGUGGAAUUCCACGUGUAGCGGUGAAAUGCGUAGAGAUGUGGAAGAACACCAGUGGCGAAGGCGACUCUCUGGUCUGUAACUGACUCUGAGGAGCGAAAGCGUGGGGGAGCGAACAGGAUUAGAUACCCUGGGUAGUCCACGCCCCUAAACGAUGAGUGCUAACUGUUAGGGGGGUUUCCGCCCCCUUAGUGCUGCA